GAUCAUGGCUCAGGAUGAACGCUAGCUACAGGCUUAACACAUGCAAGUCGAGGGGCAGCAUUUCAGUUUGCUUGCAAACUGGAGAUGGCGACCGGCGCACGGGUGAGUAACACGUAUCCAACCUGCCGAUAACUCGGGGAUAGCCUUUCGAAAGAAAGAUUAAUACCCGAUGGUAUAAUCAGACCGCAUGGUCUUGUUAUUAAAGUAAUUUCGGUUAUCGAGUGGGGAUGCGUUCCAUUAGG
rnacentral:rRNA from 1 species